GGCUCUUUGAAUACCAUAGAUAAAGAGUCGAACCUGCCCAGUGGUUUAUACUAAACGGCUGCAGUACCCUGACUGUACAAAGGUAGCACAAGGAUUUGCUUUUUAAUUGGAGGAUUGAAUGAAUGGUUUGACGAAAAUAUAACUGUCUCUUCUUCAUUGACUAAAAGUUAUUUUUUAGGUUAAAAAGCCUAAAUGAAAUUAGAGGACGAGAAGACCCUAUCGAGCUUUAAUGGCUUAUCUGUAACGGUAUAUAGAUUAGAUUUAAUGUUAUUUAUAAAAAUUUUGGUUGGGGCGACUGUGGAGCAGAAAAAACCUCCAUUGAUUUAAAAAUUAAGCUAGGAUCCAAAAUUAAUUGAUACUAGAAAAUAGUUACCGUAGGGAUAACAGCGUAAAUUUUUUUGAGAGACCCAAUCGAAGAAAAACAUUUGCGACCUCGAUGUUGGAUUAAGGCUAAAAGCUAGAAGGUGCAGAAGCUUUCAUAGCUGGUCUGUUCGACCAUUAAAUCCUU
rnacentral:rRNA from 1 species